AUUAAGAAAACUUAUAUUUAGAUUGGCAUGGGAUUAUCAAAUGGAUGAUGGUAUUGCCUGCUUUUGGAGCUGUUGUUGAUGAGAUGAGGAUUUUGAGCGACAAGAAUGUCCAAAUAUUUGAUACAACUUGCCCAUGGGUGUCUAAGAUAUUUCCCCCUAUCCUUUAUCCAUGGUACAAAAGUUAUCAAAAUGUCAGAUUCUUGUAGUUAGGAAUUCAGCCCGACCUAUUCACAAGAGAUAUUUGAAGAAUGCAACCUCCUGCUGACAAUCUUACUCUAUUUUUUUUCUUUUUUCCUUUUGGAGAUAGUUGAUAGGAUUUAGAGCAAUUUCGUAGCAUUUAAACUAACAUUUAUUGGUUUAAGUUUUCUAAUUUAUUUAUCUUUUUUAAUUGUAACAAAAUUUGAAUUGAAGUUUGAA